CCUGGGACCCAGGGGUGGCGGCCCGGCUGCUGGCUGGGCAUUGCGCUUGGCACCUUUGCAACUCAGUCUGACCUGUCACUCGAGAGCCUGCUAGAAAUACAGAUUCUCGGGUCCCACAGCGGACCUGCUGAGCCAGAAUCUGCAACUUAAGAGGACGGCCGGUGACUCGUGGGCUCACGACCCGGUGGGGCCCCACUGCCCAUGAGCUGGAUGUUAGCUCAUCUUGCAGAGGAGGGCUCUGAGAAGCCAAGCCAAGGGCUCGAGGUCCCAUACCUAGAAAAUGGCAAAGCAGGAUGUGAAGCCAGAUCGUCUCACUCUAGAACCCACCACUUGCCCACAUGAAAACAAACAGAAAAUCUGUCUAGAAAAGGGGUUCUCCACAGGCUGCACCUCCCGAGGAGUGGGUUCUAAAAACCCCACCAGUGUUUUCAAGGUGACCGGUGCCCCCACCCUGGGUUGAGAAUUGCUGCCAGGGUGAGCCAAUGCUAUGGCUGGGCUGCAUACAACGGUAGCCGUGCCAGGGCCAAGCCACAGGGUCACCACCUGAGCCCUGAGGGAAUGGCUAUGGGUCCGGUGGUGAUGGCGCUGAUCAUGCAUCCAGCAGACACCCACUGUCGCCUGGAGCCUCAAAGAUGCUGGGUCCACUGCUCAGCAGGCAGCCUGCUGCAUAGACAGUUACCCCCCUGGGAUGAAGGAGGUGCUGGGAGCUGCAGGCCACGGCUGCGGAGCUGCUCGGGCUGGAGCGGACCCUGUUUGUGCCCACAAACACCAUGGCCAACCUCAUCUCUGUGAUGUGUCACUGCCGGCGCCGGGGCUCCCAGCUCCUCCUCGGGCAGGA
rnacentral:lncRNA from 1 species